GGCCGCCUCUCCCGCCCCCGACCGCGCCCCGCCCUGCCCCCGUGGAGCCCGCCCCGGCCGCCACCGCGAUCGCCUCUCUCGCCCCCGGUAGCACCUGCCCCCGAGGAGCCCGCCCCGGCCGCUGCCAUGAACUAACAAAUACCUAUGCUUGCGCUCAGAAGUACAAGAAGGAGGAGACAGCCACGUUUGCGCUCUAUGGUUGAAGAGGUGGUUGACAUUUCAAAUUGGGAGAAAAAAGAAGUUUGUGGCAAGAAACGGAAGUUACAAAGCUUUAGAGAUGAGGAGUACUACAUAAGUUCAGUACCUCAAAACCAUCAUUUGGAAGCUGGGCUGUCGGUGAGGGACAAUGAAGGAUUUGUUGAAAAUAGGUUGGAUGCUGCUGUUCUUGAUUUAGUUGAUGAUGAAGCUUCUGGUAUGCAAGCGCAGAAAACUCGAUAUCACUGGAUGAAGGUGAUCAGUCAAGCCAUGUUUGGUAGUGAAGGGCGACGUCCAGAGAGUAAGAACAAGGUGACACAGUAUGGACUCGAUAUGACUGAGCAACAAUAUCUUGAGCAUUCGAUUCCAUGGAUAGCUGCCAAUGAUGCUGCUUGGCGUGCGUUAUGUCAUUAUUGGGCUUCACCUCCACCUAUACCUACAUCUCCAUCUACCGAACAUCAGACCCCUCCAGCUACCUUGCCGACGCAUGAACAAGAGGACGGGUUAGACUUUGUCGAAACCCUCUUCAAUAGUGGAGGUAUUGACCAUCACUCUUCACUGUAACCCGAUGGUGAUCGGCGACCAUGAGCUUCCAUGUUAUUGCGUUCUGAUACUUGAUACUUUUAUUAUGACUAUGUAUGAGAUAUUGUCUUUUAUUAGUACUGGAUGAUGAUAUGUGUCUUAUUAUGACUAUGGAUGAGACUUUUGUGAUGUAAUUGAUGAGACUAUGGAUGAGACUUUUGUGAUGUAAUUGAUGAGACUAUGGAUUUAAAUAUUGUUAUGUGAUUGUGUGUGAGAUGUUUUAUGUGAAAA